rnacentral:lncRNA from 1 species
GGUCAUUUUAAUAAAUUUCCUGUUACAAACCUUUAAAUUUUUCGAAAAACUAAGGAUUUUCUUAUCCCAGGCAUAGAUUACCUUAGCCGUAUUUGGCACAACUUUUUGGAAUUUUGGAUCCUAAAUGCUCUUCAACUUUGUAAUUGUUUGGCUUUAUAAAUAUUUUGAUAUGAGCGUCACUGAUGAGUCUUAUGAAGACGAAACGCGCG